CGCUGAUUGGUUGUGCCGCCCCAAAGGGCAUAAGCGAUCUGCGUGUGUGUGGCGAAGCGGGAAGGGGUUGGGAGAAAUAUUGCCUGGAGGCAAUAGACGACACCAGGCCUUCCCAUAAGCUCCAUGAAAAUGAUGAGAAUGACUUCCAAGGCUGUGAGUUGUGGCUGAUGAGAGAAGCUAAGAGCAAUCUCAAAACUAAUUGAUGGAGCUGCAUGGAACAUAGAUUUGGAUGCAUCUUUAGUCAGGUGCAGGGACAUGUAAUGCUCCUCUUAGGUGUCGUGCUGACAGGAGCAACAGAAAGCAGUAGACAGGUAACUUUUUAAAGGAUUGCAUGCUUUUUAUUUUCUGUAUUUUUUUUUUAUUUUUCAUUCAUAGUCAUAGAACCAUUAACUGGACAAAAUCAGUAUUUGCCACCUGGACUUUCUGUGAGCAACUUUGUCCACGUGCCUACCUCGAGCAUUCCCGCCACAGGCAGCUUAGUACUAUCCCAAAUUCAGGCAUUGAAAAUCGGUAUGAAGCAUCUGUAAGACCCCUGCAGAAUAAUGGUGAGAGUUACCCAGGCACCCUCCUUUGGAAAGCUGAAGUGACUGUAAGCUCUUAAGCUGUGCCAUAACUCCUCCCAUUGUGCUGACUCAGCUCUCCCUGUCUUUUGUGUGGAGGAGCUGGACUUGCAUUCCUUCCUGUUUUCUUGCCUAUCUGCUGCCUGCUUUGCAUGUGGCCCAAUGAGCCUUUUAUUCCUCACACCCAGAUUUGCAUGUGUAGAUAAGGGCACCUCUUUAUGUAUGUUUAUUUUCUGCUUGUGGUGUCAGGCUGAGUGACAGCUCACAACUGAGCUUGUGGUUAGCGAGACACAAUAGCUGGAGAUGCAGUUCUGUGUGUCACUAAAACAUGAGCUUCAUUGCUGCCAUGAGCAAAGAAACAGUUUGUGUCUUUUAUUUCUGUGUUUGGCUGAGCAGUUAGAGCAGGGUAAGGAGGCUGAUUUGGACAUGCUGCUUUCAAAAUACAGUGCUGUAUGUGUAGCAGUGCUUCUUGUGUGAAAAAUUCUGUAACUGUGAGAUAUAAAUUGAUUCUUUGGAAUCUGUUUAGUUGACUUGUGCUGGUUUCUUUCUCCUACUGAAUCCUUCCAGCACACUUCUGUGCAUAGCUGUGGCUUUUGCUUCCUCCUUUCACAGCAUCACGGCCCAUUCCAGUGCUUGACCACUCUUUCAGAAGAGUAGUAUUUCUCAAAGUCCAGCCUAAAUCUCCUCCUUUCUUUGUUGUGUUUCACACUUUGCAAGCUGUGAAUUGCCAGGGAACAGUUCAAUGUGCUCUGGAGUUUAGGGGCACAAACUCCCAACAAACACCAUGUGGUUUCAAACCUCAAGUUCAGAAAGAUGAGAGAUUUGCAGUGCUCUGCCUGGUGCAGGAAUGAUGUGCUCUGCAAGGCGCUUUCCAGGAAGGCCUCAGA